rnacentral:rRNA from 1 species
GAUUCCCCUAGUAACUGCGAGUGAAGCGGGAAGAGCUCAAAUUUAAAAUCUGGUAGCCUUUGGCUGCUCGAGUUGUAAUCUAGAGAAGUGUUAUCCGUGCUGGAACCAUGUAUAAGUCUCCUGGAAUGGAGCUUCAUAGAGGGUGAGAAUCCCGUUCUUGACAUGGACUUGCCAGUGCUUUGUGAUGCGCUCUCAAAGAGUCGAGUUGUUUGGGAAUGCAGCUCCAAAUGGGUGGUAAAUUCCAUCUAAAGCUAAAUAUGGGCGAGAGACCGAUAGUGAACAAGUACCGUGAGGGAAAGAUGAAAAGAACUUUGGAAAGAGAGUUAAACAGUACGUGAAAUUGUUGAAAGGGAAACGCUUGAAGUCAGUCAUGCCAUCUGGAAAUCAACCUUUGCUCGUCUGCUUGGUUUAUUUUCCAUUUGGUAGGUCAGCAUCAAUUUUGAUCAAUGGAAAAAAAUUGAGGGAAUGUAGCAUCUUUGGAUGUGUUAUAGCCCUUGGUUACAUACAUUGGUCGGGAUUGAGGAACUCAGUAUGCCAAUAAUAAUGGGUUGGGUUUUUACCACAUUCAUGCUUAGGAUGCUGACAAUAAUGGCUUCAAUCGACCCGUCUUGAAACACGGACCAAGGAGUCUAACAUGCCUGUGAGUGUUUGAGUGGUGAAACUCAAGCGCGUAAUGAAAGUGAAAGUUGGGAUCCCUGUCGUGGGGAGCACUGACACCCGGACCAGACCUUCUGUGACGGUUCUGCGGUAGAACAUGCAUGUUGGGACCCGAAAGAUGGUGAACUAUGCCUGAAUAGGGUGAAGCCAGAGGAAACUCUGGUGGAGGCUCGUAGCGAUUCUGACGUGCAAAUCGAUCGUCAAAUUUGGGUAUAGGGGCGAAAGACUAAUCGAACCAUCUAGUAGCUGGUUCCUGCCGAAGUUUCCCUCAGGAUAGCAGAAACUCAUAUCAGAUUUAUGUGGUAAAGCGAAUGAUUAGAGGCCUUGGGGUUGUAACAACCUUAACCUAUUCUCAAACUUUAAAUAUGUAAGAACGAGCCGUCUCUUGAUUGGACCACUC